CUGUAUUGCACACAACUGUCAGCCUAGAUUAUAUGCGAAACCUCUGGAGUGGAACUGGAAUCCUUCUUCUGACUCAUUUACGCAUAAGAUACUGGUGCAAAAAUAACAGCACGAAAACGAGGAGCUACAAGUUCAGAAGCAUUUGAGAUCCCACCUUUACUGAAAACAAGAAUGCUGUUGACGAGAGCAAGAAUUUUAAUAUGUUGGAUGAACUUACAAAAUACGGC